CAUCCUUCAGAGAUGACUCCAAUGCAGGAGAUAUCCUCGCAGGGAUACCUUAUUCCGCCUAUCCGCCCCUUUCCUAUAUAUAUAUCACGGUGAUCCCAGAGAUGAGACCUUGUGGUAAACCUCGUCGCAUCAAAUGCUUCCGCCUCUCUCCUUCCUCCUCCCCCUCUGUAACACCCACCGAUAGCGAACCCUAAUCGGGGCACUACGGCCAUGCCUUCCAUCUCAUCUUCCAACCUCCUCGACGUCGCUGCCGACGAGCCCGACCCUCGCCGCCCUCCCCGACUGCCCCCCGCUCUCCUCAUGUCCGACGCCGACGCCGACGCCGCACCUGGAGAUGACGACCAGCUCUCCUCCUUCUCACCCACGCCGGCCCGCGACCGGCGGAUCGUCGUCGCCCACCGCCUCCCCCUCCGCGUCGCCGCUGAUCCCGCGGAGUCCUCCGGGCUGGCAUUCGCCUGGGACCCUGACGCUCUCGGGCUCCAGCUCCGAUCUGGCCUCCCGCCCGACGCCGAAGUCCUCCACGUCGGCACCCUCCCUGUCGCCGUCGGCCCCGCCCACCGCGCCGCCGUCUCCCAACUCCUUUACGCCAGAUUCCGCUGCCUCCCCGUCUUCCUCCCUGCCGACCUCCACCACCGCUUCUACCAUUGCUUCUGCAAGCACUACCUCUGGCCUCUCCUCCACUACCUUCUCCCCCUAUCGCCCUCCUCCACCGGUGGCCUCGCCUUCGACCGCACCCUCUGGCUUUCCUACCUCUCUGCCAACAAGCUCUUCGCCGAGCGCCUCAUCGAGCUCCUCAACCCGGACGAUGAUUUCGUGUGGAUCCACGACUACCACCUCCUCGCCCUCCCCACCUUCCUACGCAGGCGCUCUCCUAGAGUAAAGCUUGGAUUUUUCCUCCACUCUCCCUUCCCUUCCUCUGAGAUCUUUCGUACCAUCCCGGUCCGCGACGAGCUCCUGCGGGCCCUCCUCAACAGUGAUCUUGUCGGUUUCCACACCUUCGAUUACGCCCGCCACUUCCUCUCCUCUUGCUCCCGACUGCUUGGCCUCGACUACCAGUCCAAGAGAGGGUAUAUCGGCAUCGAGUACUAUGGCCGGACUGUCACCGUCAAGAUCCUUCCUGUCGGGAUUGACUUGGGCCAGCUUGAAUCGGUGAUAUCUUCAUCGGAGACGACCGCAAAGAUUCAGGAACUCAAGGAGAAGUAUUCAGAUCAGAUCUUGAUACUUGGGGUUGAUGACGUCGAUCUCUUCAAAGGUAUAGGCUUGAAGUUCUUGGCGAUGGAGCAGCUGUUGGAGGAGCAUCGGGAAUUAAGGGGACGGGCUGUGCUGGUCCAGAUCGCCAACCCUCCCAGGAGCCAAGGAAGAGAUGUUCAGGAGGUCCAGGAAGAGGCCCGUUCCAUCACAAGGAGGAUCAACGAAAGGUUUGGAAAGCCUGGAUAUGAGCCCAUUGUGCUGAUCGAUCGCACUGUGCAGACACAUGAGAAGGCAGCCUUCUAUGCCAUGGCAGAGUGCUGUGUGGUGAACCCGGUGAGGGAUGGUAUGAAUUUGGUACCCUACAAAUACACAGUGUGUCGACAAUGCAGCCCUGCUCCUGGAGGUGUUCCAAAGAAGAGUGUGAUUGUGGUUUCAGAGUUCAUCGGGUGCUCACCGUCCCUAAGCGGAGCUAUUAGGGUAAAUCCAUGGAACGUGGAUGCUGUGGCAGAUGCAAUGUAUUUGGCCAUCACAAUGCCAGAGGUUGAGAAGCAGUUGCGGCACGAGAAACACUACAAGUAUGUUAGCUCUCAUGAUGUUUCUUACUGGGCAAGGUCUUUUGAUCAGGAUUUGCAGCGGGCUUGCAAGGACCAUUUCCUCAGGAGAUGUUGGGGCAUUGGGUUUGGGAUGAGCUUCCGAGUAGUUGCACUGGGUCCCAAUUUCAGAAAGCUAUCAGUCGAGCACAUAGUCUCAGCAUACAGGAAUACAAAUAGUAGACUCAUUUUGCUUGAUUAUGAUGGGACGAUGAUGCCUCAGACUUCCGUCGACAAAGGCCCAAGUGACGAGGUGAUUUCAGUUUUGAAUGAAUUAUGCAGCGACCCGAAGAACAUAGUCUUUGUGGUCAGUGGUAGAGGGAAGGAUGAGCUGAGCAAGUGGUUUGCCCCUUGUGAGAAGUUAGGAAUCUCUGCUGAACAUGGCUAUUUUACAAGGUGGAAUCGGGAUUCUCCAUGGGAAUCAUUCAUGCUAGCUACAGAUUUUAAUUGGAAGAAGAUUGCGGAACCUGUAAUGAGGCUGUACACUGAGGCAACGGAUGGAUCCAGCAUUGAAUUCAAAGAAAGCGGCUUAGUUUGGCAUCAUCAAGAUGCUGAUCCAGAUUUUGGAUCUUGCCAGGCAAAAGAACUCCUUGAUCACCUAGAAAACGUGCUUGCCAACGAGCCCGUCGUUGUGAAAAGGGGCCAGCAUAUAGUGGAGGUGAACCCCCAGGGGAUAAGCAAAGGCGUGGUGGUUGAAAACCUUUUGUCGACCAUGUUGAGAACCGGAAAGCCACCGGAUUUCAUAUUGUGCAUUGGUGAUGACCAGUCUGAUGAAGACAUGUUUGAGAGCAUCAUUAGUUCCACAAAUGAGGCAUUGGUUCCAGCAUUAGCUGAAGUCUUUGCCUGCACCGUUGGCAAGAAGCCGAGCAAGGCUAAGUACUAUCUUGAUGAUAUAGUCGAUGUCAUAAAACUGCUUCAAGGCCUUGUCCAUGCAUCAGCAGAGCCACACAAACAUACAGACCUUGGAGUGUCAUUUGAAGGGGCUCUCUGAAUGAUACAUCUCUUCUGCAGGAGCCGAGCAAGUAAGUUCUCGCAUGAAGUAUCGGAAAUUGGCUGAACUGGGUUUUGGUAAUCGAGGAGGAGGAUUUAUUGCAUGAAGAAGUGGAGACACCACCGGCUGUGGAAAGCUUUAGGAACUUUUUUACGAGGAAAAAAAUAAUCAUAAUGGUUCAGAUGUCUAAAUAAUCGACUUACACCUUAAGCAGAGUUGGUAGGCAGAAAUCAAUUCAUCCUUUCCAUUGUAAAUAUCCCCUAAAAGUUUACCCCAUGCAUUUGGAACCCUAGAAUGCAAAUUCAUCCCCAUGGAUCAUUUUCCAGGAACUUUUCAGAGACAAGGACCACUUCAUCGAACAGCAGCCUCCUCCAAGUCGAUGAAACCCUAAACCCAACAUGAAUUUAGCAGCAGGACGCAUGCACAUCUGAUGGUUCUCUUCCCUUGCACAGAUUCUGCAUCUGGUCUUCCUCCCCAGUUGCACAGAGGAGGAUAACAAGUUGAACAGAUGAGUGCAGUGUAGUGCUGUUGUGGUCGAGGAAAAAGAAUCAUGUGUUCUUGUCGAGUGCAGUGUUUGUUGCCAUGGUGAGGUCCAAAUCUUUAUCCCUCACCACUGGCCACUGGGCAUUACCGUCUUGUCCAAUGGGGCGACAGGAUAAACGUGAGGAGAUCCAACUCUAUUAUUUUUAUCCACUUAGAUCCUUGGCCGAAUCUUUGGCGAGAAGACCGGAGAAUAUUGGAGAUGGCAGAGUCGUGGGAGACCUGUCAACUAUAGAUAUAUCCUUGUCGUGAGAAAUCAUGGCAAAGGCCAAUAGUGGCGUUGGAAUAUGCCAUUGUGCUUCCUGAUCUCAUCUCGGCGUCCACGCCGUGCCACAUCUCAAAAUGAAGGCUGCUUUUGCCUGAAGAUGAAUUGAUUGCUAAGAAGAAUAUUAUGGAGGAAAAAGAUCCCGUAGAAGAUUUAAGUCCGCAAGAAAGAACAAACUGUGUGACAUUUUUUUUUCGACUUGCGAUGGCUGCCUGCCACCAACUCUUCUUCUGUAGAGUUCCAAAUACUCGAUUGAUGGUACUCAUGCUGACCAUAAUCAUGACAUCAGAUCUCUUCUAGCGGUAAUAUAUAGUUUUUGUGGUCACCAAUAACACACGAUAAGUUGUUCCAAUCAUCUGAGAUUUUUUAUAUCAAUCACUUUUUUGCACCAUUAAAUGAAUACUUUUUUCUCUUUUGAACCCAUA